CCCUUAGAUGUUCUGGGCUGCACGCGCGCUACACUGAUGCGAUCAACAAGUUUUUCCUAUGUCGAUAGACACGGGUAAUCUUUUGAACUCGCAUCGUGAUGGGGAUAGAUUAUUGUAAUUAUUAAUCUUCAACGAGGAAUUCCUAGUAGGUGCAAAUCAUCAGUUUGCAUUGAUUACGUCCCUGCCCUUUGUACACACCGCCCGUCGCUGCUACCGAUUGGUUGAUCUGGUGAAUUAUUCGGACUGCCGGCUGAAGGGGUUUCCUCAUCUGCCAGCGGAAAGUCUUGUUAACCCUAUCAACUAGAGGAAGCAGAAGUCGUAACA
rnacentral:rRNA from 1 species